GGAUGUGAGAGUGAUCUAGCUGUGACAUCUGUCAAUCCCAUUGAUCUCCAGGACUGAUAGGCUGGUCUGGCUGGGUAGACGGGUAUCCCUUUCCUUCUUUACCACUGGGUUUGAGUCUCUCCUAACGCUGGGCGCUUGGUUGAAGAGGAUGACCUUCCCCAACAAAGAAGAACCUUUGACAGUCAAGGGUGUAUGAGUGUCUGCACUCCCCCGCUAGACCCACCAAACCUGACUCAGAUGACUUAAAACAUUUUUGCUUCCAGUUACCUAAUGUCACAAGAAAAUACGUAUCAGAAAUGCAGCAGAUGAAAACCUGGACCAUCUGCCAGAUUC
rnacentral:snRNA from 1 species